GACGAACGCUGGCGGCGUGCCUAAUACAUGCAAGUCGAGCGAAGUUUUUCUGGUGCUUGCACUAGAAAAACUUAGCGGCGAACGGGUGAGUAACACGUAAAGAACCUGCCUCAUAGACUGGGACAACUAUUGGAAACGAUGGCUAAUACCGGAUAACAGCAUUAACUGCAUGGUUGAUGUUUAAAAGUUGGUUUUGCUAACACUAUGAGAUGGCUUUGCGGUGCAUUAGCUAGUUGGUGGGGUAAAGGCCUACCAAGGCGACGAUGCAUAGCCGACCUGAGAGGGUGAUCGGCCACACUGGGACUGAGACACGGCCCAGACUCCUACGGGAGGCAGCAGUAGGGAAUCUUCCGCAAUGGGCGAAAGCCUGACGGAGCAACGCCGCGUGAGUGAAGAAGGAUUUCGGUUCGUAAAGCUCUGUUGUUAGGGAAGAAUGAUUGUGUAGUAACUAUACACAGUAGAGACGGUACCUAACCAGAAAGCCACGGCUAACUACGUG
rnacentral:rRNA from 1 species